rnacentral:rRNA from 1 species
GAAGGCGUAGGGAAACCGAGUCUGAAUAGGGCGCAUAGUCGCAGGAAGUAGACCCGAAACCUGUCGAUCUACCCAUGGCCAGGGUGAAGGUGAGGUAAUACUUACUGGAGGCCCGAACCCACUAAUGUUGAAAAAUUAGGGGAUGAGCUGUGGGUCGGAGUGAAAGGCUAAUCAAGACAGGAGAUAGCUGGUUCUCCUCGAAAGCUAUUGAGGUAGCGCCUCGUGUAUCACUCCAGGGGGUAGAGCACUGUUUCGGCUAGGGGGCUCACAAGAGUUUACCAAACCGAUGCAAACUCCGAAUACCUGGAAGUGCAAUCACGGGAGACACACGGCGGGUGCUAACGUCCGUCGUGGAGAGGGAAACAACCCAGACCGCCAGCUAAGGCCCCAAAAUCAUCGCUAAGUGGUAAACGAUGUGGGAAGGCACAAACAGCCAGGAGGUUGGCUUAGAAGCAGCCAUCCUUUAAAGAAAGCGUAACAGCUCACUGGUCAAGCGCUCCUGCGCGGAAAAUGUAACGGGGCUUAAGUGAUACACCGAAGCUGCGGGCUCGAAAGAGCGGUAGCGGAGCGUUCUGUAAGUCUGCGAAGGGCAGGUGCGAGCCUGCUUGGAGAUAUCAGAAGUGAGAAU